UACAGAGACUGCAAGCGUUAUUCGGAUUUACUGGGCGUAAAGGGUGCGUAGGCGGCCGUGUGUGUGAGGUGUGAAAUCCCGGAGCUUAACUCCGGAACUGCGACUCAAACUACAUGGCUAGAGCAUUGGAGAGGGAAGUGGAAUUCACGGUGUAGCAGUGAAAUGCGUAGAUAUCGUGAGGAACACCAGAGGCGAAGGCGGCUUCCUGGACAAUUGCUGACGCUGAGGCACGAAAGCGUGGGGAGCAAACAGG
rnacentral:rRNA from 1 species